GUUCCCGGUAGGAUCUUCCUCUUCUGGACGGUGACACGGAUGCGCCAAGAUCUCUCUUCCUGAGAAGCCUGUGCUAUCAAACUUCAGUGACCUGCUUCCAUGAGGUCGUCUCCCCAACCCGGACAUCAUCAUCCCCUCCCAAGGACUCUGACACCGAGGACCCGCCUCAGGCCCCGCAGCCCCCUGAACCACGUGUAGCUCCGCGACCAUUCUCCUUAUCUCCGCUGACCCUCCAACUUCCAACUUUGCUGGUCUAUUACUCCUCCCAGCAUCACGAGAACUACCCCUCGAAGCCCAUCCAGCUCCACCCUCCUCCAAAUCGGCCAUCCACAGGGCUCCCUCCACCGCCUCGGAGACAUUUGGGCCAAGAGCCUCUGGAUUAUCUUUGUCGCUAGCCUUUUGAUUUUGAUUUGAUAGACCCCUGGACAAGUCAACAUUCGAUUAUGGGCAUCGCUCUCUUAUUAAUAAUAUUUUAUGUUAUAUUAUAUUGUAUUAUAUAUUA